AUUGCACGCUGGCGGCAGGCCUAACACAUGCAAGUCGAACGAGUGGCGGACGGGUGAGUAAUGUCUGGGAAACUGCCCGAUGGAGGGGGAUCACUACUGGAAACGGUAGCUAAUACCGCAUACUAUCGGAUGUGCCCAGAUGGGAUUCGCUAGUAGGUGGGGUAACGGCUCACCUAGGCGACGAUCCCUAGCUGGUCUGAGAGGAUGACCAGCCACACUGGAACGGAGACACGGCCCAGACGCCUACGGGAGGCAGCAGGGGGGAAUAUUGCACAAUGGGCGCAAGCCUGAUGCAGCCAUGCCGCGUGUAUGAAGAAGGCCUUCGGGUUGUAAAGUACUUUCAGCGGGGAGGCGUUACUCGCAGAAGAAGCACCGGCUAACUCCGUGCCAGCAGCCGCGGUAAUUC
rnacentral:rRNA from 1 species